CCCUUUUCCAUGACCAGAACCGAUGUUGCAGUCACAGUCAUACCCACGACCUAUGUGUAGAAAUAUUGAAAAUAAAAAAAUGGGGGGUUUAAAUUGAUUAAGAUAAAUAAAGAAGAAAAUACGAAAUUAAAAUAAAACAGAUUCAAAAAUGCGAAAAAUAAAUAAAUUUAAGAAAAUAAAAUAAAUGGAUAAAUAAAAUAUUUUUUUAAGCUUAGCCUUAGCCUUGGUGUACUCCAAUCUUGAAUCGAUCCUUGAAAUAGAUUUUUCUGUCCAAGCAAUAAGCUCGUUAUAGUGACCAAGAACGUUCCAGUCGCCAACUUUUCCGUAAGUAGUCAAUCCCGG
rnacentral:lncRNA from 1 species